UUUAUUUUAAUUUGACUUUUGCCUCUUGUACGCCAACUAUCUGUCUUUAUUUUGUUUCGUGGCAAUAGUCAACGGUUUGUUUAUUGCAACGAAAUGUCUUGGCAAUAGCCGUUUCAGACGAGUUCUUCACGAAAACAGAGGACUAGUAAGCUUUUAUGGCAAUAGACAAAGUGAUAUUAAUAGACACGAAACGAUAUUUUCAGAUUUCGUGGCAUUAGUGAGUCAAGUCUGUCGCGUCACGAAAAGGCUUUCGUGGCAAUAGAUUUAACCAAUCCGAAACCCAAAUAUUUGUACUUUGGUCAAGAAAAAAAAGAGAAAUUUUGACAUUGGUCUUCACUUGCCCACGAUAUUCCAGUAAUGCAGUACUCUUAACCGAAAAAGAAUCAUCAUAAUAUCACACGUGUAGUAUUCUAGUAGAUAAUCUAUUGAAUGCCAUACACUUUAGAUUCGACCAAAUGUUCUCGGAUAACGAACUUCGGCUAGCAACAAUAACCAAUCCCAUUUUUAAGCUCUCAUGGCUAGAAAAAGAAGAAGAUAUGGAACGUGCAAUAAAGAGUUUGCUAACUUGUUAAUUUAAGCGUCUUCAGGGCAUCCAGCAACAGCUUUCUUCCUCAGGUGAAAUCAGUGAUGGUAGUUCAUCGUCUUUUUCUGGCCCAAGUCCAGAAAAACAACGAAAAAGAAUUAUUUUGUUUCUAUCUCGAAGAAAACAACCAAGAAAAGAUCUGAUGAAGAGAUUGAAAACUACCUCAAUUUUUGUGACAGCUUAGAUUAAUUAGAAGACUAUCCAAUUAUCCAACAAAUGUAAAUGUAAACGAUACAAUGUUACACUCCCAUCAUCGGUAUCAGUUGAAAGACUUUUCAGCCAAGGAGGUCUGAUUUUCUCUCCAAGACGUUUGAAUUUGACU
rnacentral:lncRNA from 1 species